rnacentral:rRNA from 1 species
UACGGAGGGUGCAAGCGUUAUCCGGAUUCACUGGGUUUAAAGGGUGCGUAGGUGGGCAGGUAAGUCAGUGGUGAAAUCCCCGAGCUUAACUUGGGAACUGCCAUUGAUACUAUUUGUCUUGAAUACUGUGGAGGUUAGCGGAAUAUGUCAUGUAGCGGUGAAAUGCUUAGAUAUGACAUAGAACACCAAUUGCGAAGGCAGCUCACUACGCGAAUAUUGACACUGAGGCACGAAAGCGUGGGGAUCAAACAGG